GGGCGGGCGGCCUCGCCUCCCCACCCCGGCUCUCGGGCUCGGGCCGAGGGGCGAGCGGGGGACGCUUACCCGGCGACUCCGACCUCCUCGCUAGUUCCCUGGAGGAAAAGUGCGAGACUGACGGUCUCGUGGGCCCUCUAUGAAAUAAUACUUCAGCCAGUUAGCACUGGAGACUUCUGGUCAAGGAAGAGUCUCUGCUGGCCAAGAAUGCUGCCCAAGAUCUCUCCAGUACCUCCUGAUACUUGUUUAAUGUUGAUUUAUUACCUACAUUGUAAACUCCAUGAUAUUAAAAUUUUGUUUAGUCACAUGUUCAUUCACUCUGCAAA